UCUCUUGCUCUUCACAGUAAUGGGUGGGGUGUGCACUUUUAAGAAGGUGCUGCUUUCACUCUUCCACAGCGGAUGUGCAGCUGCUGUGGAGACUGAGGCCGGCCAGUGCCACUCUGCAAAGUGCACACAGGCAGGAAGUAUGGUUUUAACAAGGACAAAGUGAGUUUAGAGUCCUCCUAUUUCACCGUCUUCCCUGAAAGUCUGUGGUCUUCUGGUCUUCCUCAGCAUAGAAAUCCUUGAGAGCUCUGAGUUCAAGAGUGAUACAGCGAGAAAGGGAACACAAGGAGUGGGAGAGGGAGAAGGAGGCUUCCCGCACAACAGGGAGCCCGAUGUGGGGCUUGAUCCUAGGACUCUGGGACUGUGAGCUGAGCUGAAGGCCGACUCCUAACCGAGCCACCAGGCGCCCCUCAAUUACUGCUUUAUGUUACCCAACUCCUACAUGCUGAUUUGUACUAACUUAGCACUUAAGAUUCUGACUCAAUGAUUCUCUGUGAUUUAUCAGGUUAACAACUAUCUAAACAACUACCUAAAAAAUUAACAUUUUCUAAACAAAAGAAGACCUAGAAUAAGGAUUUUUAACCUGGGGCACACUGAUGGGCUUGGAAGGGGAAUAAACUCGUUGAAAUCAUAUGCAAAUUUCUAUGUAUAUGUGUUUUCCUAGGGAGAACAUUCAAAAUUACCACUGGCUUCUAUUACACAAUAGUUAAUAUAACUAGUUAUAUGGAGAAACAAAGACCAGAAAUCUCUUAACAAAAAAUGAAAUUAUUCUUUUUAUACAUCAAACAGGCUUUGACAUUAACUAUAAUCUUACAGAAAU